rnacentral:rRNA from 1 species
CGACCGGCGCACGGGUGAGUAACACGUAUCCAACCUGCCGUCUACUCUUGGACAGCCUUCUGAAAGGGAAGAUUAAUACAAGAUGGCAUCAUGAGUCCGCAUGUUCACAUGAUUAAAGGUAUUCCGGUAGACGAUGGGGAUGCGUUCCAUUAGAUAGUAGGCGGGGUAACGGCCCACCUAGUCUUCGAUGGAUAGGGGUUCUGAGAGGAAGGUCCCCCACAUUGGAACUGAGACACGGUCCAAACUCCUACGGGAGGCAGCAUG